rnacentral:rRNA from 1 species
GCUGGCGGCAGGCCUAAACAUGCAAGUCCAACGCCGUAGCAAUACGGAGUGGCAGAYGGGUGAGUAACACGUGGGAACGUGCCCUUUGGUUCGGAACAACACAGGGAAACUUGUGCUAAUACCGGAUAAGCCCUUACGGGGAAAGAUUUAUCGCCAGAGGAUCGGCCCGCGUCUGAUUAGCUAGUUGGUGAGGUAACGGCUCACCAAGGCUACGAUCAGUAGCUGGUCUGAGAGGAUGAUCAGCCACACUGGGACUGAGACACGGCCCAGACUCCUACGGGAGGCAGCAGUUAGGAAUCUUGGACAAUGGGCGCAAGCCUGAUCCAGCCAUGCCGCGUGAGUGAUGAAGGCCUUAGGGUUGUAAAGCUCUUUCAGCGGGGAAGAUAAUGACGGUACCCGCAGAAGAAGCCCCGGCUAACUUCGUGCCAGCAGCCGCGGUAAUACGAAGGGGGCUAGCGUUGCCCGGAAUCACUGGGCGUAAAGCGCACGUAGGCGGCUUUCUAAGUCAGGGGUGAAAUCCUGGAGCUCAACUCCAGAACUGCCCUUGAUACUGGAGAGCUUGAGUCCGGAAGAGGUGAGUGGAACUCCGAGUGUAGAGGUGAAAUUCGUAGAUAUUCGGAAGAACAC